rnacentral:rRNA from 1 species
AUGAACGCUGGCGGCGUGCCUAAUACAUGCCAGUCGAGCGAACAGACGAGGAGCUUGUUCCUCUGACGUUAGCGGCGGACGGGUGAGUAACACGUGGAUAACCUACCUAUAAGACUGGGAUAACUUCGGGAAACCGGAGCUAAUACCGGAUAAUAUAUUGAACCGCAUGGUUCAAUAGUGAAAGACGGUUUUGCUGUCACUUAUAGAUGGAUCCGCGCCGCAUUAGCUAGUUGGUAAGGUAACGGCUUACCAAGGCAACGAUGCGUAGCCGACCUGAGAGGGUGAUCGGCCACACUGGAACUGAGACACGGUCCAGACUCCUACGGGAGGCAGCAGUAGGGAAUCUUCCGCAAUGGGCGAAAGCCUGACGGAGCAACGCCGCGUGAGUGAUGAAGGUCUUCGGAUCGUAAAACUCUGUUAUUAGGGAAGAACAAAUGUGUAAGUAACUAUGCACGUCUUGACGGUACCUAAUCAGAAAGCCACGGCUAACUACGUG